GAGUAACACGUGGGCAACCUGCCUGUAAGUUGGGGAUAACUCCGGGAAACCGGGGCUAAUACCGAAUGAUAAAGUGUGGCGCAUGCCACGCUUUUGAAAGAUGGUUUCGGCUAUCGCUUACAGAUGGGCCCGCGGUGCAUUAGCUAGUUGGUAGGGUAAUGGCCUACCAAGGCAACGAUGCAUAGCCGACCUGAGAGGGUGAUCGGCCACACUGGGACUGAGACACGGCCCAGACUCCUACGGGAGGCAGCAGUAGGGAAUCUUCCGCAAUGGACGAAAGUCUGACGGAGCAACGCCGCGUGUAUGAAGAAGGUUUUCGGAUCGUAAAGUACUGUUGUUAGAGAAGAACAAGGAUAAGAGUAACUGCUUGUCCCUUGACGGUAUCUAACCAGAAAGCCACGGCUAACUACGUGCCAGCAGCCGCGGUAAUACGUAGGUGGCAAGCGUUGUCCGGAUUUAUUGGGCGUAAAGCGCGCGCAGGCGGUCUUUUAAGUCUGAUGUGAAAGCCCCCGGCUUAACCGGGGAGGGUCAUUGGAAACUGGAAGACUGGAGUGCAGAAGAGGAGAG
rnacentral:rRNA from 1 species